UCUGGAAUUCAGAAAACAGUCAUCGUAGAGAAUCUACUCAAAUCAACGUUACUCGCGAAUAUUUCGAAUUAAUCAACCGAUAAACGAUUCGAGACAGAUAUUAUAGGUACACGAAAGCUAAAAACUUAUAAUUAUUUAAUUUAAAUCGAUACGUAGGUAUAGGUAAUGUAUGUUUAUUCGCAGCAUUUUACUCCGGUCGCGUAAUCGAAGACUAGACGACAAACAAACCAGCAGCGGUCGUGUUUUGCAUGCGAUUACUUGUUUAUACCUAUAAAUUUUCAUCGUCUAUAACGAAUCCAAAUGAACUUGUAUCAUAUCCAAAUACGUUAUUUGACGAUGUCCUUGCGAAUCAAUUAUUUCCAAGUUGCAUCUCAAUACGCGCGCCACAUCGCUACGAUAUACUAUAUACGAUACCGUUGCCGGUGACGAUUCGAAACGUGAGAUUUUUUUUCAAACCGUUGAAAAUUUAUGUACGCGGAUGCUCGUUACUCGAUCGAAAAAAAAGCGUGCCAAGUUUAGCGUUGAAGGAAGAAAAUUAUUAAUCGGUUUUCCUACUAUAUGACCGUUGUAUAAUAUUAAAUUGUUCUUUUUUUUUGCAGCUAAAAUGUACGAAAAUUCGACGUAUGUCGUACGAUAAAACACGUGACAUACCUAUUCGUGCUCGAAGACAGCGAAUUUGCGGCCGUGUAUAACUAAGUAUACAAGUACGAUGUGUAACCUACCUAGCGUAUAAAAUACUACGAUGUGUUGUACUUUUCAUGUAUGAUGUAAGUACAUCUCCAACGUAAACGCGCUAGACUGAGGAAAGUGUGUUAAAAAUUUAAAAAGGGGCUAUACUACGACGAUAUGACUUACGAACAGCGAGAACGAAGAAACGAUUAUGUGUGUUUUUUUCCCCAACUAAACAAACACAGUCACGUUUAAAAUUUAUAACGUAGUCUUACCGCCAUUUAAUGCUCGUGUCGCGAAAUGUCAAACAGAUUGUAGGUAGGUAGGUACCGCGAGUAAUCAUCAGAUUAAAAAGAAAAGCUACCGUUUGAUGUUAAAAUAGGUACCUACUCCGAGAUGAGGCUUUUCAAUACACAAAAGCAACCGGAAGCUGUAAAUUCUUGAUAAGUUUAUUUAAGAAAUACCAAAUAGUUAUGACCUUGGUCAAUUUAACUAAGAGUACGACAAAGAGAGACGAAUUAAAGAAAAUUAAAUUAUUGAAAUUGACUUGACCGAUGCGAUGCGACGCGACGUUUUAUGCCUAUGGGAUCCUAUAGUCCAGUGGCGCGAUAUUCGCGAAUCUCUCUCUAAAACGUACCAUAAUCGGUCAAGGUUGACGAAUUAACAAAAUUCUCACCGUAAUAAUGAUCGAGCGUAAUAAUAAUUACAAUUUUUUUCCAUUUUUUUUCGAGCAGAAGCGAGAAGGGGUGAUUUUAUUUUUUAUUAAUUAGAUGCGAACUCAGCAUCGCGUGACAGUGACUUUAGCUGUUAUGGUAUUCGCCAAACGGCAACAUGUGGAUUCAUUUAGGAUAAUUAAUAUCGCGACGAGGAUCAUUUUACAGGUCGAUUUGGUCGUUUGGUGAGCCUCCGGCGGCGUCUAGUCGCAUUUUCAUCUCAUACCGUACGCGAAGAUCAACGCCGAAGUACCCUAUCGGAGGUCUGUCAAUUGAUCAAUAAGGAAGCUCCGUUGCUACAUAACGAAUCGCUUAAUUACGAGAAUGAGAAAAACAAAAUUGAAAUUCGAUCAUUUUCUCAUACGAUACUGGUUCCAAGAAGGUCAACUUAUUUAAUAAAGUACACGCGUGUUCAAUGCUGCGAAUUAUUUUUGACGACUGAGAGUAAGAUACGCCACCGUUCUGAUACCUACUUAUAUAGUUUUCAAUGCGAAGGUAUAUAAGUAUUUUAAAGGCCUUUUGUAUCACAUGCCACUUUUUAUUUUCAGGUUCCUACUCGAAAGAAGUGUCUAUAUCGAAUAUAGCAACGUCAAAAACACGUUAUCAAAUUAUAUCACUCGAUGGAUUUUGUUUGGUAAUCUCACCACAAAAUGAAAGCAUUAUUUUGACAGUUUUUGUUUUUACGUUGGAACAAAAACGUCGAGAGAAAAAAUUCAUAGUAAAGAGGAGAAGAAGACACAAAAAAAUGAACUUCAAAACCCUGCGAUUUGGCGAACCAGUCCAUAAAACAAAUUGAAUCGAAGGAUCUCAGUGAAAUUGUGCACGAAAAAUUUCAAUUGAAAUGUGACUGAGCCACUUUUCAACAAGUUUGUUCGUUCUGAAGAAAUGUUUAGUUUCUUGGAAAAAGAGAUUUCAUGCUGGAGGCUGCACAAAAAAAUGGGGCUGGAAAAACUGCAUUAAAAUUGAAUUAAACUAGGUGGAUCCGAGAUGAGGCGGAUGAGCCAUCGACAACCAAAAUAGACCCAAGAAGAAUGCCAUUUUGUCCCUUAUUGUCUUCCUCACUCUCCAGAGAAAUAAUCUCGAGAAAUGGUUUCAAAAAUGGAUCCUUUAUGACGACAUUUCAUCACCUAUUCUGAAAAAUCUAAUUUUUACACGCCAGAAUAGGUCUUAAUGGACUACUAAGCACCAGAGCCCAGGGCUUCCAUAAUGUCCUACAUUGUGACUCCGCAUCUAUGGUUAAUUGAUCCUGGUAUCCAUUUCAUAUCGCUGUGUUGUGACCGCCGCGCUCUUUUUACUUUUCUCUUUACUGCAUCAAGUAAUGCAAUACACAUGAAAUGAAAGGAGAAGAAAAAAAACAACACAGAUAGGCUACCGGUACGCGAUAUUAUUUUAUAUUUGUGUCAUCCAUUUACACGUGACAAAUACGCGCGUAUUUCACGCUGUUCUGGACAGCUACCAUACUUAUUUUUUAACUCAUUUUUUUUAGGUGCGUGUAUGUACUUUGGUGUAAAUGUCACGCAGAUUUAUGUUUAUGAAAAUAUGUGUGUGUCUCUGUCUAUUCGUAAGUAAAAUACAUGUUUGAAUUAAUUUGGAGUAGAAUUUUCUUAAGAAUGGGAUGUUUAUUCUCGGCAGGUGGCGAGCACCUCAGGUAGGUAUAGUCGAUUUAAAAUCUCCAAAUGAGAAAAUUAAAUCUCGAGGAAGUGAAAUUACAUAUAAUAGGUAGCUUUUAUGAGAAUGUGAUUAUUAGAGGAAAAAAUUCAUUUUGGAAUUUUAAUUUUAUGAUAGAUUUGCCAGAAUGAGAUCAUUUUUCAAGCACAUUUUGUGCAGGUUCUCAAAAUAAAUGCAUCUAAUUUUUAAAUAAACAUAUCAACUGAUAGGUACAUACAUUAUUCAAUGUAGGUACAUAUAUGAGAAUGAUCUGAGCUUAAUAAAAUGAAAACAACUCAAUUUUACUUACAUAAAACGCUUCGCUAAAUAAUGAUGGCAUUUUUAAUGGCUAAAUCACGUUCAAAUGAUCGAAUCCUUUGAUGCAUUCAUCGCGAACUCAUUGCACAAAUACACAACACAUCAGUAUAGCUAGGUAGUAUAAGAUAGGUGUACAAGUAAUAGGUACGCGCACCAAUAACAAAACAAAUGCCAAAUUUUUUACUUCAAAAUUUCUUAUUUUGAAUAAAACGCACCGUAUAAAUUGAACAGAACUUUACUAAUACGCACAUGUUCACCGAAAAGCAAUCAAAUUAUGGGUACUUUUACCGCGAGCCGAUUCUCUCGUACAUACAAUAGGGUAUAGGUACUUAAAAAACGUAUUCGAGUACCACUCGGCACACCGAUGUACGAUACACGUUGAAUUACGACGAUCGAAGAGAAAACUCCAUAAAAUACUGACAAGAUUUUGUUGAAUUUACCUUAAAGAUCGCACCGCAAAGACACCUGUCUGAGCUGAUCUAGGUUAAGAAGAAGUGGGGUAAAGGUUUACUUCUCUACUUGUAUAUUCUGCCGUCGAAACAGGUUAACUCGUAAAUGGAGUGCUUUGAGAAUCGGUUCAACGUGUAGUUUUUCUGUCUCCGGCGUUGGAUAUUGCGAACCGAUUUGAAAUAUUAAUUAAUACCCCAUCGUGUUUAGAUGACGAUUUCGAUGGUUGAGGUGGCAAAUUGGUGAUUGAGAUAAAUUUGAGGAGGACUGGAGGAGGGAGAGGGAGUUGACCAGGGUUCGUAUUAGAUUCAUAAAAGGUUUUGAAGAAAAUUAUGUUCCAACAAAAAAAAAGAGAUGGAACAAUGUUCUUUGUUGUUUGUCAAAUCAGAAAAUGAUUUUUUUUUUAUAAUAAUGGGAGAAGAAUUUUUUUAUUGCACUUAAUAUUGUAAGGGUUUAGGAAGAAUAAUAUACUGUAUCGUUCAAAUGUAUGGGAUGAAACGGGAUAUGGUUCAGCUGUUAGUUUUCCCAUUUUCAACGAGUAACUAACUAACUUACUAAAGAUAACUUUUGGUUAAAAAAUUAAUUUUUUAAUACAUUUUGAAGAAAAAAAUGGACGAUUCCAAAGGCCCUGUUUUUUGCCUUUUGCAGAAGUUGUGAAGUUGAAAAAGUCUUGUUUUCUGCCAAAAAAAUCGCCAUUUCCCAAAAAUUUCUAAAAAGUCUUCCCUUUUUAUUUUUACUAAAAAGUUGGAAAAAAGUCUUGCUUUUUUUAAUAAAAAUUGCGAAAAAUAGAUAUCACUUUUUUGCAAAUAAUUCACCAAAACGUCAUAUCAUGCUUUUUGCUUAAAUUUUCCAAGUAUUGCUUUUUGUCAAAAAUUUUUCUUAUUUAGCAAAAUUGCCAAAAAGUCUCACUUUUUUUCCAGAAAUUUCCAAAGAGCACUUCCUUCUGCUAGAAUUGUUGAAGUGUUGGUUGGUUUCUUGGUUUUCGCCAGGUAUUGUCAAAAAUGUCAAAAAUAAAUUUUGGCUUUCUAACAAAAUGGAGAUAAAACUUAGUUUUUAGCCCCACUUUUUUCCAAAAAGUCUU